AUGCAAUUUGUGAGCUUCAAAUUUAAGGAGUUGUACCAUAGAUUAGAAAUAAUUCAAAGCCUCCUUAAAAUUCCCUUUUGCUUUUACCCACAGGCUAACUCGAUUCUUCUUCCCUCUGGCCAGAACACAUGCCACCGAAGGAACGAUUUAUUUCCUGAAACCAUGCUGCUUUCAGCAGUUUCCAAUAGCUUUAAAUUAUGUCUUCUGAUCUGUGUACAGAGUAAUUGCAGAGCUUAUGUGAGAGGACCUGAGUAUAUCUCUACUUAUACAUUCAGGUGUAAUAAUAUAAGGAAGUAAAACAAAAGUCUUCAAAUCUACAAGAAGUUCUCCAUUAGCUGUGUGUUUUUCUCUAAGGAAAUUAUCGCUUUUUAAUCUGCCAUUCAUCUCAUCCACAGAGGAACAAAGUGGAUUUUCAG
rnacentral:lncRNA from 1 species